rnacentral:rRNA from 1 species
UCCUACGGGGGGCAGCAGUGGGGAAUAUUGCACAAUGGGGGAAACCCUGAUGCAGCAACGCCGCGUGGGUGAAGGAGCGUUUCGGCGCGUAAAGCCCUGUCAGCGGGGAAGAAGAAAGACGGUACCCGACCAAGAAGCCCCGGCUAACUACGUGCCAGCAGCCGCGGUAAUACGUAGGGUGCGAGCGUUAAUCGGAAUUACUGGGCGUAAAGGGUGCACAGGCGGUUGAGUAAGACAGAUGUGAAAUCCCCGAGCUUAA